rnacentral:lncRNA from 1 species
GCCCAGUGAGUAGGACUAUAAAACAUAUUAACACUAUGCUCCAAUGAAAUGCAUCAUAACACAGACAAUUCACAUAAGGGUUGGGUGAACUUGUCACCAAUUAGUCCAAGUUAACAUAGUGCCAGGCCGUAGCAUGGGGUUCUGGUCUUCCUGUCAUAACAUACAUUACUUACCAUUUCCCCAGGGCCUCCUCUGGGCUCCUGGUCUUCGAGUCUCAUAACCGUGCCAGGCCGUAGAAUGGGGUCCUGGUCUUUCCUUACAUAGUGCCAGGCCGUAGCAUGGGGUCCUGGUCUUCCUGUCAUGGACUAAUUGGGUCAUCCAACAUUCACCCACAUCAACAACAAUAGAUGCAAUGCGGCAUAUUCGUGAAACUAAUGCAAUCAUCCUAUUGCAUAAUCAUGAUGCAU